rnacentral:misc_RNA from 1 species
GAUGAAGAACGCAGCGAAGUGCGAUAAGUAGUGUGAAUUGCAGAAUUUCGUGAAUCAUCGAAUCUUUGAACGCAAAUUGCACUCUCCGGUUUUCCGGGAGAGUAUGCCUGUUUGAGGGUCAGCCUAAAUAAAUUCGGCUUCGUUGCUGUUGUUUUCGCGGUAACGUUUUUAGUCGGGAUUUGGGUCAUCUUAAACCGAAAGGUUUUUAAGCGACUUAAAAUUUUUUUACGAUCCCACGAACGUUUCUAAGUACUUCUUACACGUUCAGGGUAUCGAAAACCCCUAUUAGGCGUGGCCGUCGUAUCGGAUCGCGUCCAUAAUAUUUAUUCUUUAACUGACCUCAGACAGGUAAGAAUACCCGCUGAACUUAAGCAUAUCAAUAAGCGGAGGA